GCCAAAGAACACGUGUUUACGUGUUUUCAGUUAAGGUUUUUCCUGAGCUGAGCAGAGGCUCAUUUGGAGGAGAAAUAAAGAUGGCAGCAUCACUCGCAUUUUCUCCUGUCUGCCAGUCAGCGUCGGCAGAGCUCCACCUCUCACACGCAGGAAGCAUGGACCCCUUAGAUGCGCUUCCUGUCCCCUUUGCAGGUUCCAGUCCCCAAGGAUUUUAGAAACACCGGGGACCCCCUAGGAUGAGUCACUGAACCUCUGUUUUAUUUUGUGAAAUACCACUGAGCUCCAAAAUCUACCUUCAACAACGCUGAUUAGUUCAAAACAUUUUAGGCAGUGUUUUCAUUAUAAUCAAUCACCCUAUCUGUAAGGUAAGUUAGACCUUGAUAAAUCGAGCAUUGAGAACUACCCACUUUAAAAUUACAGACUUGUGCAUGGUCAUGUCCUUGUUCUCGAUAAUAGUCUUUAUCUGAUCUCUGUUCAGUGUUACUUUUUUAUUCAUUAGCAAGUAUUUAUUGAGAACCUAUUAUGCAUCAAGCGUUGCUCACUUCUAAUGACUUUCACUUUACCAUGACAGGGCCAAACCUGGCCCACCGCCUGUUUUGAUCAAUAAAGUUUUAUUGGAACACCUUCCAUUCCCAUUGGCUGACAUAUUUUCUAUGGCUGCUUUUUAUGCAACAGCAACAGAGUUGAGUAGUUGCAACAGAGACUGUUAUGACCCACAGCCGAAAAUAUGUGCCAUCUGAAAAGAUUUGUCAACCCUGGAUCUAUUAUAUAAACAGGCCACUUAUAAUCCACUAUGAAUAUUCAGAGUGAUGGUUCUAGUUAUCAAAGCAAGUUAAACUAUUUUGUAUGCUAAGUUUACCUAAGAAAAUGGUCUACUACAUUUUAGAAAGUUUUUAAGUAAUGAUGGAAACAAAGAGGAACCAAGAUGUCCUCAAUUAAUCAGAACAUUUAAUUAUCCUGGAUAAUGUUUUCUAUCAUAAAAUUAAGAUUAGUUAUGCAUAUUUAGAGUUGAUAUGAUCACAGGUGGCAUCAAUAUCUCGGUUACAUUAACUCAGUGCCUCACAAGUUAAUGUGUGUAAGAAUCAUUGGGGAAUCCUGUUAACAUCCGGAUUCCAACUCUGUGGGCAAUCCCGAGCAGGGUGGGUAAGGCUCUCCCAGGUAAUGCUGAGACUUCUGGUCAGCGGCCCCCCCCCCUCCCAGUACUAGGGAUAAGAUAGCAUGUGGAUGUUUUUGUCUUUAACUUAUACCAAGGAGGAAAUGGAAUGAAAGCCAGAAAAUGAGGAACUCAAGGGUGUCACUGGGGCCUUCCCCCCAACCACACCUUAAUCCUACCUUCCACCUUGCCCCUCCCCAUAAAGCUCUACUAGUAAGAGAAAUGGAAACCUCUCCUGGGUAUUUGGAGCUCUGGAGAUGUCUAGGUUGAAGCAAAUGGGUUAGAAGCUGUUCAACUAAUUGUUACCUGAGGUAGCCACCUUCAAAAUAAUGUAGAAAACUGUGUUGGCCUGUGUGCAUGUUUUUUGUAAGAAAGCAUCAUUUCUCUCCUUUCUAUUAAUGUUCUUUACCCUUUUUUCAUUCCCUCUUAACAGUUUUUUUAAAAGCACAUUUAUGAUUCCCUUUGGUUUUGACAUGUCUUGGCUUAUCUACAACCACCUACAGAUGUAGCUUCCCUGGAAGUUAAAGUUUUAAUAUCCCCUCUCUUGGAAGGGGCAUUGGUAAAAUGGAGGGAGUGUGGAAAAAGAAAGGCCUGUUAUCUUCAGGCUUUGCUAUUUCGGGAUGGUAUUACCUCUGAUUCUAAAAUACUGGCUAGUGUCCCCCACCCUGAAGAAGGUAGCCAUGAAAAAGUUGCUGGCAAAAUAUUUAACUGUAAUGGUUUCCUUAGCAACACCUGCUGCGUGACCAGCUUCAGAAACUACCCUGAGAA